rnacentral:lncRNA from 1 species
UCAGCCUCCCAAAGUGCUGGGAUUACAGGCGUGAGCCACUGCACCCAGCCCAGAUAUUUAUUUUUGAAUGAUGCUAGGCUCUGAGGAUGCAAAGGUUGUUUCAGUUGUUAUUCCUGCUCUGCAGGAGUUCCCAGUCCAGGAGGAGAUAGUGGCAGGAGUGACAAACUAUGCCCCAGAAAGCCAGGAAAGGCUCCUCUGGCAAGUGACGUUGAACUAGGACUUGAAGAUCAAGUAGGAGUUCACCAGGCAGACAGGAUGAGGUUAGCUGGGAUAUUUCAACAGCAUGGACAACAGGGCAUGAGAAAAUGGGAAGAGAGAAUGGGCAAGGGGUCAUCGAUGGACCGGAGAUGGGAUGGUAGGGACAGAAACUGCAGGGUCCGCAGAAGGAACUGCUCACCGAAAGCCAACAAGCUUGCCCUGUGGAAUCCCAGAAAGGCCCAGGAACUUCGGGACAUCACUGAAGGCAGAGUGAAGAGAGGAAGAGAAGACAGAGAAAUGGAGGGGAGAAAACUAUUAAAAUAAGUAAUAAGAAAACUUUCCCCAGAAGUGCAGAAUCUGAAUUUCCAGUAUAAAAGGGUCCAUUGAGCGCCAAGAACAAUGAAGGAAAAAAGGUCCCACUCAGGCCUACGUAUCAUUGUGAAAUUUCAGAACUAGAGGGAUAAAGAAAAGAUCCUAAAAGCUUCCCGAGAGAUAAAAAAGAAGAUUUUUACAAAGGAUCAGCAAUCAGAAUUGCCUCAGACUGCUCAAUAAAAACAUCAGAAGCUAGAAGAAAAUAGAAUGAGGCAUCAAAAUCCUGAGGGAAAUGAUUCCCACCUAUAAUUUCAUAUUCUGCUCAAUUAUCAAUUGAGUAUUGAAGGGAAAUAAAGACAUUUUUAGACAUGCAGUUUCUCCACUUGAUCUUAGCCCAAAGGCCGAGAGGCAAUGACAUGCAGUUUCUCAAAAGGUUUGCUUCCCACUUUCUUGGAAAAAACCAAGAAAGAGGGGGCCUGGGGAACCAGGGGAUCCCAACACAGGAGAGUGGCAGAGGAAGCUCCCAGGAUGAUGGAAAAU